UACGUAGGGUGCAAGCGUUGUCCGGAGUUAUUGGGCGUAAAGAGCUCGUAGGCGGUCUGUCGCGUCUGCUGUGAAAACUCAGGGCUUAACCCUGAGCUUGCAGUGGGUACGGGCAGACUAGAGUGCGGUAGGGGAGAUUGGAAUUCCUGGUGUAGCGGUGGAAUGCGCAGAUAUCAGGAGGAACACCAAUGGCGAAGGCAGAUCUCUGGGCCGUAACUGACGCUGAGGAGCGAAAGCAUGGGGAGCGAACAGG
rnacentral:rRNA from 1 species